rnacentral:rRNA from 1 species
GACGAACGCUGGCGGCGUGCUUAACACAUGCAAGUCGAACGAAGUGGCGAACGGGUGAGUAAUACGUGGGUAACCUGCCCUCCUUUUUGGGAUAAGCCUUGGAAACGGGGUCUAAUACCGAAUAAAGGGGGAUGGGCUCGCGGCCUAUCAGCUUGUUGGUGGGGUGAUGGCCUACCAAGGCGGUGACGGGUAGCCGGCCUGAGAGGGUGACCGGCGAGAGUGGGACUGGGAUACGGCCGAGACUCCUAGGGGGGGCAGCAGUGUGGGGUAUUGCACAAUGGGCGAAAGCCGGAUGCAGCGACGCCGCGUGGGGGAGGAAGGAUUUCGGGUUGUAAACCGCUUUCAGCCAUGACGCGGUAGUGGCAGAAGAAGCACCGGCUAACUCCGUGCCAGCCGCCGCGGUAAUUC